UGACUCAGUGGAUAGAGUGUCAGCCUGCAGAUUGAAAGGUCCCAGGUUCGAUUCCGGUCAAGGGCAUGUACCUUGCCUGGGUUGAGGGCUAAAUCCCCGGUGUGGGGCAUGCAGGAGGCAGCUGAUCGAUGAUUCUCUCUCAUCACUGAUGUUUCUAUCUCUCUCUCCCCCUCUCCCUUCCUCUCUGAAAUCAAUAAAAAUA